GCAGUUACUGGUCCGAUGUUUGUCCGCGUACGACUCUCUUCCAGGAUCGCUAGUCCCGGCGGCGUGGUGAACACGCGAGAGGCUCACCAGCGCCGCUUAUUUUACGAGUUUUCGGAGCCUCUCUCAUCGCUCCGCUCUUUUCCGAGGGAUCGCGAGACUCGCGGAUUCGGAUCGCGACCGAACGCGGCCCGAUUUUUCUCUUUUGCCGAGUGAGAGCCUCCUGGUUGAACCAGCUACGCGCGAGGGGACCGACCCGACUACCGAACUCAAACUCCUCUCUCCUUCACGAACGGUGGCCAACCUCAGUCUCCGGACUAGAAAAUGCCGGAGAUUCGAACCGCGAGAGCCGCUUGUCGGUUUCGUCAAUUGGGCAAACGGAUGUACGAAAAUGAGCUACCGAAAUCUACUGCAAAGUGAGAUUUCCUGGGAUGCAAGAUAAAUAAAAUUGGAGCGUUCAAUUAACAUCGAUUUUCGAUCGAAUUCCUCGUGCAAUUUCGCUUGGAUUCGUAGCUAUUGGAAAUUUAAUUUCUCCCCUGAAAUUCAACGUUGUUUUGACCCAUGAUUCGCCGGAUUUAUUUAUUUUUUCCAUCUUCAUCUGCUGGAACUAAUUACUCGAAAUAAUAGUCGAUCGAUCGAGUCUUCGAUUUCCUGGCGAACAAAAGUAAAUGCACUCGAGCGAAAUUGGAGUCGUCUCGAUCGACUCGUUAUCCCUUCCUCUACUGUUUUAGAUUCGCGGAACGAGCAAUGUACAUCGAGGAGAGGAAAAAUGGAGAGAAAUCAUAGAAAUUAAAACGCGACCGACGAGGUCGUUGAACGCGUUUCCGGGGACACGGAGCCGAGGAUUCGAAGAUCGAAGACGCAGCAUAUCGAAGUUUCGUUUAAAUAAUUGUAACGAUAGAAAAAUAUUGAAAAUUUCGCAAUAUUUUAACUCCCUUUUCCUGCAUUUUCCGUCGUCGUUGAGGGCCGCCGAAAUUUUUUCAUAUUUCACGAACUUCUCCGACUCGAACUCGAAAUUCGCGAGUUUCGGUCGAAACUUUAAGAAAGUUGGGAAAAUGAGCUCAAAAAUAUGGUUCUCGGUGCGUUUCGGGACUCGGAAACGAGACCGGGAGCUCCAGCUACCCGAAUCUGAAGGCGGUAGAACGGGAGUUCAGCAAUUUACCCUCGGCCGAACGGUCCUCGGCAGAGGGUAAAAAGCUCGAGGAGCGAAGCUCCACCCCCGAUGGUAAGCGGUCGGUUACCAUGUCGAGAGACGUACCGUGGACCGAGAAAGCUCCGAGUGGUUUCCGUCAGUCGGUGAAGUAGAGCGCGGAGCCUUCGCGGCAAGCUUUUGCUCGUGAGAGAUUGCCGAGUUUGCAGCGGUAGAAAAUGGACAGAAAAUCCGCACUGUUUGCUCGCCUCCGUUCACUCGUUGAAUUUUCAACGACAUUUCUUUGCAACGCGUUCGCUAAUUACGCACAUUAAUUCUGCGGCGGUGAUGAAUUAUGGGAGCGACGAUCGAACAUUUCUACGGGCAACUUUCAUUAUUUUAUUACAUCCUGCGGAGUGAAACGGAAUCUGAGAUCGGAGUAAAAAUUCAUGUCACUUCAAACAAUCAUUUUUCUUGAACACUAACAUUUGAAAUCAAGUUCGAAACGUUUUGAAGAAAUUCUAUGAGAAUCGGUGGGCAUGUCCACCGGUUUUAGAGGAAAAAACCUUUUUCCAAAGUGUGCGUGACGAAGAAACGUUGAAUAGAAUAUUUUAUUUGAAAAAAUGGUAUUUUUAGUGCUCCGUGUUGUCGAGGGAUUAUUUGUAUACUUGAUGAAACGAAAAUUUAACGUUGGAUUCUUGACAUUCGUUCGUUGAAUGAAAAAAAUUAGAUGGACGUUGAAUAUUUUACGUUAUUCGAAUGCAAAAUCCAACGCAGAUGAACGAUUUGUCGAUAAAUUGAAACCAAUAGAUAAGAAUAAAAUUAUUCAUGGAUUGUGCCUCCAGUGACAUUCAGUUUCACGGUUUUUCCAGUAAGCCAAAAAUAUCGCACGAAUUUAUGACGAGAUAUCUAGCGGCUUGAGGCACAAGAGCAGAAUAAUCAAUUAAUUCGUGAAUGUUGUUAGCAGAAUGAAAAUAACAGGAAAUUGCAAUAAAUUAAGUGAAUAAUAA